CAAAGAAGUUCUUAACAUGAUGUUGCAGUUGUAGUUGUUUUCAUAUUUACUAGCCUGUCUGCAAGGACAUUUUUCUCUUUGUAGAUAUAACCUACUAUGGAGCUAUGCACCUGCAUACAAAGGUACCUAUAAUCAUCAACAAAAGUGGUGAAUGUUAGAAUCUGCAGUUUUAAGCAUGUAAGUAACUUCCUGGGCAUCGAUAUUGGUUUCUAGUGUAUGAAAACCAUAUUGUAAGGUAGGAUAUAAUCCUUGCAUAAGAGCAUUUGACCUUUUUCAGAUCCUUGACCAGAUUUGAGAUCGAAUUUUCAAACGAAGUUAUUUAGCGAC
rnacentral:lncRNA from 1 species